UCUUAUUGCACGUGAAAAUGUGCAAGUGUAGCCACGACGUAAUAUCAGUGUUGAUAUCAUGCAUUGCCUUCUAUGGGAACGUCAAACUUCCCAACAUGGACGAUGAUUUUUGGCACGUCACGUAGCCUGGCAUCUAAAUUGCGCUGGUGUAUCCACCCAUUCAUAUCUAUGAGUUUUGCAACGGAAGCAAACUUUUGUUUCUACGUGUUGCUAACGGAGACGUCUACGGCUAUCGACUAGCUAGUACCUUCAUGUUUAGACUUAUGGGGGAAACGCUGAGAAAUGGAAAACUGCCGAGUGUCAAGAUGAUGCGCCUACCUCCACAAAAGCAGAUGACGAGUUUGUCUCGCUGACACAGGGGACUCAACUACUGCAACAACAGGACGACAUUUUCGCAGCACAGCAACAGCAGGAAAAUGUCAAAAGAAGCAGAAAGAGAAGAUGGAAGUUUGGAUUGACCUGUCGACAGUUUCCCAUUAAGCUUGCUUUUGCAUGUACAAUCCACCCGGUGCGAAGAAUGUUGACCUCAGAAGCUGCAGUGUCUUUGAUCAUGACAUGGGAUGACAGAGGCUUCAUCGGACAAUGUGAUGCCCCUUCUUCACGUCAUGCCGACGGUAGAUCCAGCCAACCACCUGGUCAUCAUCCAUCAUAACAUGGAACUUGAAAACGGGUGCCAAAACAUGUUCAUCAUGGAACACUGACUCCGAAACCAGGGUGGCAACCCACAGGACUUCUCUACAUUCUUUUCUCCACAUGCUCCAUUCGUGGUAGACAGGAUACCCAUCCCAGACAAAGAACAGAUGGCCCUUUGACAAUGAGAAUCUGCCCCAAUGAAGGGAUAACUUGCUGUUAAUUUUAGAAGGUCCAUGCCACCAUGUUCUCAUCACAUCGUCUUUUUUUCUGUUCGUUUCAGACCAUUUUCUACUUAUUGAAAGAAAAAAGUUCUUCGUUCUGGAGAAACAGCAGUUCGUCCCAGAAUACAGGAAACGGUACGUUCUUCACCCGUUUCCUGUGGCUCCACAUGCUCCCUUCGAGGUAGACGGGAUACCCAUCCCAGACAAAGAACGGAUAGCCCAUUAACUAUUGGAUGCUGGUACGGGACCUCAGUGAGACCUGCCUUGGUUUGCCCGAUGAACCUAUGACUCGCUGACAAGUUUAGAAAGCCCAUGGCACCGUGUUCUCCCGACGAUCAAAUCAAGUCUGUUUUCUCUUUUCUUCAGACCGCUUUCUAUUAAUUGAAAGGAAAAGAUUCUUCGUUCUGGAGAAACAGCGCUUCAUCCCCAAAUAGAGGAAACGGACUUGGAAAAUGGGUGCCAAAACACUUUCACCAGGGAACACAUUGACUCCGAAACCAGGGUGGCAACCAGCGGGACUUUUCUUCAUUCAUCUAACGGGGACACAUCCAAGACAAAAAACGGAUGCCUCUGUGACUAUUGGAAGCUGAGCCACCCUGGUAGGAAAACUUGAUGAGAGCUGCAAUUGCUUGCCCAAUGAAGGGAUGACUUUCUUGCAAGUUUAGACUGUCCAUGGCACCCUGUUCACUCGAGGAUCACAUCAGGGUCACGGGCGUGCUGGAGCCUAUCCCAGCUGUCAUCGGGCAGGAGGCGGGGUACACCCUGAACUGGUUGCCAGAUGAGUUUCGGAAGGAAGAAACCGGAGGAAACCGGAGUGCCCGGAGAAAACCCACGCAGGCACGGGGAGAACAUGCAAACUCCACACAGAAAGAGAGCCAAGGAAAGGACUUUGUGCUGGAGACGGCGAAAGCUGGAAAGACAAAGAGCAGCUGAAUGGUCCUGUGUCUCCACGUUUACCAAGCGGAUUGGAACAAUAUGAUGAAAAGUCUAUUUCAGUGGGGGACAAAGUGGACAUAUCUAGCAGUGGAGGAUAUCAAGGAUGCUGAGGUCGGAGUCGUGUGGCUCGUCGGAAGAUGGUGGGGAACUUGAGGUAAGUGGUAUUAAGCAGGUCACCUGCCCUUGAACAGCAAUAAAUGGUAAAGGCUAUGCAGUGCAUAUAUUUAGGAGAUUUCAGUAUAAGGAUGGUUAAAUUUUACUUGGAGUCAGAAAUCUCCCUAGUCAGUGGGGUGGGCAGAGUCACUAGAUAGGAUUGUGGGAGAAAUUAUGGCUAGAAAUAUUUUUGCCAUUAUGGGAGUAUGAGGUCAUGCAGUCCUCAGAUAGAAUUCUACUUCAAAAUUUAUAUUAAACGUCAGUAGGGGUUGAAAGAGAGAGGUCAGAAAGGAGCAGCCCUCCUACUUGAUUUCACCUACCAUUGGUUUAUGAGUCUGUUAGUAGUUUGUUAGAAAAUGCCUCACUAAGCCUCCUACGCUGCACAUGUAAAUAUCGGUGGACCAAGACCAUCUACUGUACCUCUAUUGCUGGCUGACUAGGAGAACUAAAAUACAGAAGUUGUCGAGUUGUGUAGGUGUGGUAUUUGGGCCAUAUGGGGUCAACCCUCCUGACUUUGUGCUGGGGUAAUAACAAGUGGGAUACAAAGGGGGGCAUUGAUCGAUUAAUUAAUCUGGUCUGACGUGGAAGAGGGUGACUUGAUUUGAGGAUUUGGCAGAUGUAAUCUCGGAAAUUAGGCUAAAAGCAAUGAAGGAUACCUGUAGACUGGUAGAGGAAUCUGGGGAAAAUUAUGCUCAGUGACGUGGGUGUAGGGACCGACAUACUAGCAAGCCGUUUCUUGUACACUCGGAUAGUAAUAAUAAGAAAUCAGUCGGUACCAGAGCUAUUUUUAAAUCGUCAAUCUAGCAGGAAUAUCGCGGUACUGAGGAGGAAGACCACGUGUAGUGAUUGUACUAGUUAGUUCAAACCUAUCAACUUUCAAAUACUAGUUACGUGAUGGAGGCGGUUUUUGCCCAAACAGGAACGAGGGAAGUGGGAUAUUAAUUGCGUUAAAAAAGCCUCGGGAGGCUGCACAAGUUUCAUAGCUCGCGAAUUACAAAUUAAGAUCCGCGGAUUGGGUAAGCACACAACUGCUUCCAAAUGGGCUGGUUGGGAAUUACGAGUCAACCAAUAUAUAUUCUGUGUUCAGUUUUGUCUGUGGGAUGUGUGAGUGGAAAAUGGACUUCCAGGUCAAUGUUAUUGUCUGAGAAGUCUCGCUUCUCAUGUCGUAUUAAAUGUUUAUGGUUUGUGUUAAAUGUUUACGUUUUGAGUUAAAUGUUUGUGUUGUGUUGAGUAAAAGCAGAAAUGAAGCACCAUUGGGUCAAAUUCACUCAUGUGGAGAAGGCUUUUAUGCACUUUGUGGGGUCAUCUGAGACUAACAUGUUUAUGAUGACCGAGGACAUUGUGACUGACAAGUGGGUAAGGUCUCCACAGACAGGUCUCCAAAGGUCAGUUAGUCAACUGACCUUUGUGACGGUGUACAUAAAGACACGGGGAAGACUCUGCUUUUUGACUCUGAUUUGUGGACAUAACUUUAUUUUUCAGGACGCCCAGGAGGAUGCAGUGUGACAGUGUUGAUUUAUUGCAGGUUAUGGGAAUGCUGACUUAACCCCGAUUCUUAUGUGAUUUAUGGUCUAUUGACAUUGCCGCUGUUGGGAAACGUGUUAACAAUGAAUGAUCAGUGUUAACAUGUGAUUCGUUAUUUAUGGAAAUAAUAUCAAUGUUUGGUGACCAUUGCCGACUUAGCCCUUCUCUGGAAUAUGAAGGCAGGAAUUCUUUUGCAGAGGUGUGAUUAAUUUAUUAAAGGACUUGUUUGCAGGACUCGUCAGCUGGGCCUCUGCAACGGGGAAGAUGACCUGUUUAAAUGUGGAUGGUAUUUUGUAUUCCUGCUGUUGUGUAUUUGCUGGGCGAGUAGCCUCUAGGAACUUUGCUGUACUGACUCCCACCAGUAACAUCUACUGCCGGCGGACCGGAGACAGCUGUUGAAGAAGGGUGCCCGGGUAAAGUGGACACAUUGAUGCGUAAUGUAUCCGAACGGGAGGUUAGUAUUCCAAUUCUGAACUUUGAUUCAAUACUAUACUGAGGUUGGAGGUUGCCUGUUUAUGCAGUUUCAUCACAGGAAGUGGGAUGGAGGAGAGCUUAGGAAGACACUGUGCAUGCAUGACUGGUGGGAUACAGAGUAGGACCAAUAUCGGAAUGUCUAAUACAAUACUAUCGAAGGAGUUCACCUGAUAUGGUAGUAAGUACCUUAGCGUGACACUGACGGGGAGUAUGAUAUGAGUGAGGGGUAAUGAAUAAUACGAAACAGCUAUUGACACCCCUGCAGAGGUUAUGAUUCAAAAAGUGACAGAUAUAUGGAAGUUGGCAUGAACAAUAAAUACAGAGUAAUUAUGGUAUAAUGAGCUAUUAGAGUCUGGGGGCUAAUAUGGAUUUGAUGACGCAGUCGGGUCCGAACUAGGGUCUCCACGUGGUACGGAACUAAAAGGGGAAUGAUGUGAAAAUUAACGCAAAUUUAAGUUACAGGGCCACUGAGGGAUAAGAUAUUGCAAGCCGCUGCGGGAGGUUAGUUGAGCGUGCCCAGCACGCCCGCGACCCUCGUGAGGAGAAGCGGCUCAGAAGAUGGAUGGAUGGACGUGGUAAUGGAAGUUAGGUCAUUUUCUUGGCUCAGAUUCCUUCAUGCAAGGGGGUUACAAAACAAAAUAAUAUCCAGCGGUGGUACGCGUAGGAGUCAUGUCCGCAGGGGUCUGGAGGCAUAAAGCGAUGCAAGGGGGGUAUUAUCACUUACGGAUUAAUCGACUCCCACAACCGUGUCUGCCUCAGAUGUGUAGAACUAACUGCCCCUCAUAUGUUGUACUGUUUAGAUAUCCAUUUGAAAAUGGGUUGGAUUAGGUUUGAUUUUGUUGCAAAAUACUGGCAGGUGUUCUUGUUUUUCCAGGAGUGGCCGGGAGCUGCGGGGGGUCCCGCUUGUAUAAACCUGGAUUCUGGAACUAAUUCAUGGACGGUGAUGGUGGACAGCGGGCCCUGAGCGGAAGGGUUCUGAGUUUCUUCAUCAAUGACACGAGCUGUAGACCAUAUGGAGGGAGACCACCUUUAAAAUUUGAAUUCAUUCGUGUGUAUUUUGAUAUGUUUGCUUCCAAAGUUCUUUGUUGUGUUUUACACUGUUUUUGUUCAUCGAUGUCGAUGUUUGUAUUAUUCUGUUGUGUAUGUUUGCCGUCAGGGUCCCUUUGGGUGAUUUGAUGUACGGGGCUCUGAAGGACGCUUGAUCUGGCUCUCGCUCUUUUCCUCGUCUCGUUUGAGAAAGGUUUUUCGACCGAGAGCCGCGAAACCUUGGCGCUCCCACGAGGCUGCGCAUACAAAUUGAUAAAUUUGGGAUUGGCUCCUUUUUGAUAACUGGGAGGAGAUUUGGUAUUCGGCUGUUUGGUACGCACGUGUGACCUCGGGGGGCGACGAGGAGACGCAGGGAGUGAUUCGGCCUUAUUAGAAUAAAUUGUUUUUCCUAGUAAAUGGUUAACCUUAAGUAGAUGCCUCUUAAAUAUUGUCAAAUGUACAUAAGUAAAGAAUUCAAUUCAAGUAUUUUCAACGCAAGAUAAAUAAAAGUGCGAUUGGCUGGCGACCA